UUUUUUGUGGGGUCUUUGUAAGCUAGGGCUCUUCCUUGAGGUAAGGGAAACUUUUGUAUUUACGAACCUAUAACUAUUAAUCUUUGAAUUUUAGUUUAUAUGUUUGAGCAAAUUUGAUGUGUAUGUGAUGAAUUAAGGUUAAGACGUGAAUUUAUUGAUUUUAUGAUAUAUAUAGAUUAAUUUAUAACUACUUGGUGUUGAAUCUGUGUGUUUUGACUUAA
rnacentral:lncRNA from 1 species